rnacentral:rRNA from 1 species
AGAGUUUGAUCCUGGCUCAGGACGAACGCUGGCGGCGCGCCUAACACAUGCAAGUCGAACGGAGAAAUGCUGAGCUUGCUUUGCAUUUUUUAGUGGCGGACGGGUGAGUAACACGUGAGCAACCUGCCUUUGUGAGGGGAAUAACGUCUGGAAACGGACGCUAAUACCGCAUAACGUCAAGGAACCGCAUGGUUUUUGACCAAAGAUUUUAUCGCACAAAGAUGGGCUCGCGGCUGAUUAGCUAGUUGGCGGGGUAACGGCCCACCAAGGCGACGAUCAGUAGCCGGACUGAGAGGUUGAUCGGCCACAUUGGGACUGAGACACGGCCCAGACUCCUACGGGAGGCAGCA